rnacentral:lncRNA from 8 species
GGGUCCCAGGAGGUGCAGGGGCAGGCCUAGGAGCUGGAGGUCUUGGAGGAACAGGAGGGGUACCAGCAGGAGGAGCUGGGGCUGGAGGGUAUAAUCCUGCUGCUGCCAAAGCUGCGACAUAUGGAGUCCCCGGAGGUGCAGGAGCAGGCCUAGGAGCUGGAGGAGCAGGAGGAGUACCUGGGGCUUUAGGAUAUAAUCCCGCUGCAGCAAAAGCUGCUAAAUAUGGUAAUAGUACUCAAAACAACAACACUAGUCUCAUUCAGUGUUGGUUUAUGGUAUACAUGACUUUUAAAUACAAUAUUUUUUCUCUACAACAGGAGUUCCAGGAGGUGUAGGAGCAGGCCUAGGAGCUGGAGGACUUGGAGGAGCAGGAGGAGGAGGAUAUGGAGGAGCAGGAGGGGCUGGGGCUGGAGGUACCUAAUCAUAGUUAAUGGGUUAUAACUAUUAAUAUCAAGUCUGAUAUCUUUAAUUUAUUAACUCAAAUGUAUUCACCAGGAUAUAAUCCUGCUGCAGCCAAAGCUGCUAAAUAUGGAGUUCCAGGAGGUGCAGGAGCAGGCCUAGGAGCUGGAGGAGUACCAGGAGGAGGAGGGGGGGUACCUGGGGCUGGAGGAUAUAAUCCCGCUGCAGCCAAAGCUGCUAAAUAUGGAGUUCAAGGAGGUGUAGGAACAGGCCUAGGAGCAGGAGGACUUGGAGGAGCAGGAGGAAUACAGGGAGGAGUACCUGGAGGAGGAGCAGGGGUUGUCCCUGGGGCUGGAGGAUAUAAUCCUGCUGCAGCCAAAGCUGCUAAAUACGGUAAGAAACAUGUACAUCAGUUGAAUUCAUAAUGACAUUUCUGUCAAUGUUUUACAGUACUACCGUGUGUCUUCUCAUGACGUGCCCUCUCCUGUGUUGUAGGUCAGGGGGCUGCUGGUGGGCCAGGGGGUGGAUAUGGUGGUGUGCCUGCUGGAGGAUAUCCCAGGCCUGGGAGUACGUAUACCAAAGGAAGGGUCUGGGGGAGGAGUGGAAGUAAAGGCAGUGUUCACACAUACAAUAUGUAUUUGUUCCUAUGUACAAUACAAUAUGUAGUUUGUAAACUUUGCAUAGGGGUAGAGGUUGGCUUUAUAUACAGGUUUAAGUUGUGGAGUUAGUGUGUUUGAGCAGAGGGUUUGGUUUUAAGGUAAAGUGGGGUACAUUGCCUUAUAGUGCUACUAGGUUGAUGAUGUUCCAUGUUUUGACUGACAGGCUAUGGGGGAUAUGGAGGGGCAGCAGGAGGGGCAGCAGGAGGGGCAGGAGCUGGAGGUACGUUUCCAAUGAUACCAACUUGAUAUACUGUAAUUUCAUGAAUUGAUAGCAUAAACUAGUGUUAAUAAUACUACUGUAUCAUGAGGCUUGGGGUGCAAGAGUGAUGUUUUUAAUUUAUUUAUUUUUUACAUUUCAGGAUAUAAUCCUGCUGCGGCCAAAGCUGCUAAAUAUGGUAAGAAGAAGAAGAGUAACAAGUAUACUGUAUCCUAGGCAGUUCUGAAUGGAGACAUUAUUUCAAAAUAAUAACAUUUUCUUCUUGUGGUCCCAGGAGCUGGAGGAGCCGGCCUAGGAGCUGGAGGAGCCGGCCUAGGAGCUGGAGGAGCCGGCCUAGGAGCUGGAGGAGCCGGCCUAGGAGGAACAGGAGGAGGGCCAGGGACUGGGGCUGGACCAGGAUAUGGAGGUUUGCACAGAAGUUGAAAUCUAAUGUCAUCUGGAAGAGUUAAUACUGUUGGUUAUGAUUGGGGAGCUUUGGUCUGUCUUAUCAAACCAUUUAUGAGGUCAUUUAUAAACGUUGCUAUUUGUUUUGUAUUACAGGCUAUGGAGGAUAUGGAGGGGUACCAGCAGGAGGGGCUGCCGCUGCUGCCAAAGCUGCUAAAUAUGGUAUUUUAUCCUCUCCAUGAUUUUGAAAAAUGUACUGCCUAACCGUUGUAUUAAUAAACGGUAUUGAUAUACUGCCGGUGGUGCCAAACCCCCUAAAUAAAUUAGUUUUUUUCCCACUGGAUUUCAAAGAAGCAACCAUUAGAUAUUACAUGUUGUUUAAACCACCAAAUAAUAAC